rnacentral:rRNA from 1 species
UACAGAGGGUGCUAGCGUUAAUCGGAAUUACUGGGCGUAAAGGGUGUGUAGGUGGUUAGGUAAGUUAGAUGUGAAAUCCCCGGGCUCAACCUGGGAACUGCGUUUAAAACUGCUUGGCUAGAGUAUUGCAGAGGGUAGUGGAAUUUCCAGUGUAGCGGUGAAAUGCGUAGAUAUUGGAAGGAACACCAGUGGCGAAGGCGACUACCUGGGCAAAUACUGACACUGAGACACGAAAGCAUGGGGAGCAAACAGG